rnacentral:tRNA from 2 species
GUCUUGGUAGCUCAGAUGGUUAGAGCACUGCCCUGAUAAGGCAGAGGUCGUAGGUUCAAGUCCUGCCUGAGACA